rnacentral:rRNA from 1 species
GACGAACGCUGGCGGCGUGCUUAACACAUGCAAGUCGAACGGAAAGGCCCUGCUUUUGUGGGGUGCUCGAGUGGCGAACGGGUGAGUAACACGUGAGUAACCUGCCCUUGACUUUGGGAUAACUUCAGGAAACUGGGGCUAAUACCGGAUAGGAGCUCCUGCUGCAUGGUGGGGGUUGGAAAGUUUCGGCGGUUGGGGAUGGACUCGCGGCUUAUCAGCUUGUUGGUGGGGUAGUGGCUUACCAAGGCUUUGACGGGUAGCCGGCCUGAGAGGGUGACCGGCCACAUUGGGACUGAGAUACGGCCCAAACUCCUACGGGAGGCAGCAGUGGGGAAUAUUGCACAAUGGGCGGAAGCCUGAUGCAGCAACGCCGCGUGCGGGAUGACGGCCUUCGGGUUGUAAACCGCUUUCGCCUGUGACGAAGCGUGAGUGACGGUAAUGGGUAAAGAAGCACCGGCUAACUACGUG